GGGGGACGCUGAGGGGACUCAUGCGGCGGGUGCUGAAGGACGUGGGGCGCUGAGGGGAUGCAUGCGCGGGGCAGUGAGGGACAUGGGGACGCUGAGGCAGCGCACGCGGGCCACCAUCGGCCAAGGAUGAGACCAUUAGAACAUCUGCAAUGGGUUGAAACGCCUCGAAUGCAGUAAGAUCCAGGAGUUAUAACGAUACUAAAAAUAGCAACAAUGACCCAAGUCACCUUUGGACAUGCUAAAAACCAGCGGUACCUCAGGAUGACCAAAUAGUUGAUGAGAAAAAAUCCCUCUUCAGAAAAGUAUUACAGCUCACAGGUGAAGAAAGGAGACACAGAAUCGGAGCAUCUUCCCUCCGAAGCCCCACAAUGGAAUCACCGGUGCAGGGAGAUGGCCAGGCCUGCGGCACCCGAGAGAGGCCGUCUGACCCGGGUCCUCUGUGCAGGCAGAGCCCCCUCCGGUGUUGUGUUCCCGCCAAAACUGGCCGCGAAUCGCAGAUGAUGAUGCCGGGAUCCGCGCCCUUGCAGGAGAGACGGGGGUGUGGGGAGGAUGCCGGCAGCUCAGGGCACAGUCCAGACCUGGGGACACCACGGGACAAAAGACAAGUCACGAGAGGAAGAAGCGGAGAGAACCAAGGAUUUUUUCCUGGUUGGAAAAAACAGAGUCUUAAAAAUCCUGUGGGAUGCCAGGGAGUCCUGGGCGCUGAUAUCUGGUGGCAUUAAGGAGUCACCAUCAAUUAUUUUAGGCAUAAAUACAGAACUGGGGUUGGGUGGGGUGUUUGGUUCUUAUCUUUGAGAAUACUUUCUGAAGUGUUUAUGGAUAAAAUAAUAUGAUGUCUGGAACUGUUUUAAAAUAGCCCAGUGAGGAAGCGGGUGGGGUGCUGGCCUUGGCAGGAACACGGGGCCAUUGUGCUGGUCUCUCGCGUUGUGUUGGAACUCACUAUAAACAGCACCAGCGAGGGACGGCAGCCUGCCCUGUGCCUGCCCUGAGGUCACUCUCACUGUGAACUCGGCUCCCUCCAGCCCAGCUCUCACAGGGUCACAGGUGGUGGCUUCAGCCAAUGUCCUGUGCAGGCUUCUUCCUGAAGGAACACAGAGUCCUGAGAGUGGGAUUUCCUGUGGUGAUUCUUCGGUCUCAGAGUCCCGAGGGACACGCGUGUUUGAGAAUCUUCUCCAUGUCCAUCUGGAUGAUCUUCGCCUUCAUUCUCCUCUCCUAUUAAAUGGAGGCCAUCAGCACACUUAGACACGCCUGCCAGCUUUAAGAGUUUAGAGCUAAACAAAUGAAGCACACAGUGCACUUCAAAGACUUCGAGAGGAAGGCUCAGUGUGCACAGAGGCCCCAGGAACCCUGAGCUUCCCCAGGAUGCCCAUCCUGAGCCCUCGGGGGCCAUCUAACCCACUCAAACUCCAAACACUAGUCUCUCCCCCAUCACAAGGAAAGACAGGCAUGGUCCCCCACCCAUCAGCGGUGUUGCUGAAUCUGGCAGCCACUGUGUUUGUCAGACCUGCCUGCCUUGUUCAGCAGGGAAACCACUUGCUAUGAUGAAUGGAGCUGCAUGUGAAACUUAGAUAAGCAGGCAGGUCGAAAACACCUCCUGUGCCAGCAUUCCAGUUUUCUUGCUUGGCCCAAGAACCUGGUUUCAUUUUGGAAGGUGGAGGGAGUGUGUGGCGACCUUGUUGCCAUUUUCAGGCAUGGCUGGGCUCUCACACAGUCACUCUUAGAACAGACAUGUCCCUGCCUGGAGGCCAGGCCCUCUUGGGUUGUGGGAACCAAGCCCAAAAAUGUCAAACAAGUGGCAAAACCUUUAGGGUAAUUUUCCUCUAACUCAAAAAACACCUGGCCGCUUCUCCUCCCCAGAUGUUAAAGGUCCUUUUAUUAGCAUUGUCCUAUUGUGUUUUUUUCAUUUCUCAGACACAGACACAGGAAGCAUCAACUCUGAGGCUUUGGCCAGGAUGUGAGCCCGACUUUCGCAGCCCCAACUGGCAGGCUGACCUCAUGUGAACUCCCUGGCGAUGGCAUCCUGGAGACACCCACAUGGCUGAGCUGGCACCAUAGGCACUCAUAAUCCAGGUUCAGUUUCUGCCAGCACUAAUUUGGUUUAUUCCACAUGGCUGGAGCCACUGCGGGACUCCAUUUGUUCCGGGGCCACCUUCCUGUCACCUUUUACUGUUUCUUGAGUCAGCAAGAAAGGCAGAUCCGACUGAAGACUCCAGCACUCUCCUCAGCUGCAGCCCCCACAGAGCUCCGCGAAGUCCUUUCUCCCACAGGACAGAUCUGAGGCACCCACCAUUAGAAGAAAGGAGUGGAGAAAUGAUAUGCAGGAAGAAGGCCCAUUCUGAUUCACCAAUCGCAUGGACGCACUUUCCUACCAGGCUAGGAGGGAGGAAAGUAGAGCCCCACCCUGACUGCUAAGCCGUUUGCUUUGGUGUCAUGAAAAAAGAGUUCAGCUUCCCAAAUCAGAGAGGAAAAGGUUUUCAAGGGGUCCCCUAUUUCUAUUAUGUAAGCUUUAAAUGACAAAGUGGACCUCUGGGGCCAACGUGGGUGUGUGAUGGUGGUUUUGUGGGAUUCUCCCCAUAGCCCCAUCAGACGGCCUCACCUUCUGGGUCUCAGUGGCCCCAGGUGCAACACGGCUCCUCCAGAAAUGAUGACAGCCCUGGCGACCAAGGACUCCCUGUGCCACUGGGUUUGCGCUCAGAAGUAUAUUCAAUGAUUUCCCCAGAAAAUUCCAAGUCAUCUCCUAAUACUGUUUGUGAAAACUAAA
rnacentral:lncRNA from 1 species